rnacentral:rRNA from 1 species
AGCAGUAGCCACGGUAAUACGUAGGCGGCAAGCGUUGUCCGGAAUUAUUGGGCGUAAAGCGCGCGCAGGCGGAUCAGUUAGUCUGUCUUAAAAGUUCGGGGCUUAACCCCGUGAGGGGAUGGAAACUGCUGAUCUAGAGUAUCGGAGAGGAAAGUGGAAUUCCUAGUGUAGCGGUGAAAUGCGUAGAUAUUAGGAAGAACACCAGUGGCGAAGGCGACUUUCUGGACGAAAACUGACGCUGAGGCGCGAAAGCCAGGGGAGCGAACGGGAUUAGAUACCCCAGUAGUCCCUGUCUCUUAUACC